rnacentral:rRNA from 1 species
GACGAACGCUGGCGGCGUGCUUAACACAUGCAAGUCGUACGGUAAGGCCCUUUCGGGGGUACACGAGUGGCGAACGGGUGAGUAACACGUGAGUAACCUGCUCACAACUUUGGGAUAACGCUAGGAAACUGGUGCUAAUACUGGAUAUGUGCUCCUGCUGCAUGGUGGGGGUUGGAAAGCUCCGGCGGUUGUGGAUGGACUCGCGGCCUAUCAGCUUGUUGGUGGGGUAGUGGCCUACCAAGGCGGCGACGGGUAGCCGGCCUGAGAGGGUGACCGGCCACAUUGGGACUGAGAUACGGCCCAGACUCCUACGGGAGGCAGCAGUGGGGAAUAUUGCACAAUGGGCGCAAGCCUGAUGCAGCAACGCCGCGUGCGGGAUGACGGCCUUCGGGUUGUAAACCGCUUUCAGCAGGGACGAAGCUUUUUGUGACGGUACCUGCAGAAGAAGCACCGGCUAACUACGUG